rnacentral:tRNA from 2 species
UGGGGAGUUGUCUAACGGUAGGACCCGGGAUUCUGGAUCCCGUUGUGAUGGUUCGAAUCCAUCCUCCCCAG